rnacentral:rRNA from 1 species
UACAGAGGGUGCAAGCGUUGUUCGGAAUUAUUGGGCGUAAAGCGCGUGUAGGCGGCUUUGCAAGUCGGGUGUGAAAGCCCUCGGCUCAACCGAGGAAGUGCGCCCGAAACUGCAGAGCUUGAGUACCGGAGAGGAUGGCGGAAUUCCCCAAGUAGAGGUGAAAUUCGUAGAUAUGGGGAGGAACACCAGAGGCGAAGGCGGUUACCUGGACAGUUACUGGACGCUCAGGCACGAAAGCAUGGGGAGCAAAAGGGAGU